rnacentral:lncRNA from 1 species
UCUCUCUAGAAUCUGCCUAAUUUUUUUUUAUUCCCAUGCAUUCAAAUAAUGUUUUAAGAAAUAUUUUACUUAGAGUUUCACAUGUUACCUUCAGUGGGAUCAAGUAAGAUAGGAGCUUAUUCAGGCUUAUCAGUGUAACUAUCAUCUCAUGUACUCUUAAACUGUUAAACAAGAGUUUUGACCAUAUUCUAAUACAAUAUUAUACAAUUCGGCAGAAGAUUGAUGUUUCCAUGAACUGAGAAGAUCUGCAACACUUGGGUUAUGCAUUAAAUGGGCUCAGCUUUCUUUUGCCUUUGCUGUUGUUGCUUGGGAUUCCUUUUCUAGAGAUUUUAUCUCUUCUACAAUCCUGGAAAACAGGAAAACUGGCACCCAUCACCAUUUGGAUUCUUCAUAGCCCAGGUCAAUUUGGAAAAUCCUGGUUUGUUAUCACAGUGCUGCUUAUUAACAUAUUUUCUAGUUCCUUCUUGAAUGAAGUUUGAGAAUUAAUCUUUUAUGGGAGGAGGUCUGUUUCAAGGAGGGCAGGUCUAUUCAAACCUACACCAGUUUGAGGAAGCUGAGAGGCUGAAGAAGGAGGCAGACAAACCCAAUUUCUUAGGAGAAAACACUUAACAGAGACUUACAAACAAGAGCUAUAUUUGUGUCUCCAGCAGUGCUGAGACAACAUGGUGGAUCCCCAUGCCAUUACCCGCCAGAACCAGGACUUAUCUAACACACGGAAGGGGUUGUUCAGAAGGGAUGUAUAGGACAACUGAAGUAUGAUAACUUCAAGGUUGUUUGACCUAAGAACAGGAUUUAUGGUAAGUAUCUAGUAUUACACAAGGAACCAUAGAUAAACUGGAAAUCCUAGAGGCCCUCCCCGAACUGGGG